rnacentral:precursor_RNA from 7 species
CCACUCAAGUCUGCUUAAGGGGCCUCCUUUACUUUAACAUGGAGGCACUUGCUGUGCAUUUAAAAAUAAGUGCUUCCAUGUUUGAGUGUGGUGGCUCCUACUUAAUCUUCAUUGUGCUG